CGAGUCAAGUCAAGCUUGGGCCUUGAAUGUUUAAGCUUGAAUCCAACCCAUAUUUUAAACGAGCUUAAUUUUUUUACACUAACUUCAUUUUUCGGGUCUAAUAUUUUUGCCCAAACCCUCCUGAAUUUCAGCCAAACCAAAUUUUGUUUAUCUUUUAAUUUCAAUUUUAAAUUAUUACUAAUUAUAUUUUAUUUAUGUUCAAGGAUUUUAACACGUGACUCAUGUUUUACACUAGUAAUCAAAUGUGUAAAUG
rnacentral:lncRNA from 1 species